AUGAACGCUAGCUACAGGCUUAACACAUGCAAGUCGAGGGGAAACGACAUCGAAAGCUUGCUUUUGAUGGGCGUCGACCGGCGCACGGGUGAGUAACGCGUAUCCAACCUGCCCAUCACUUGGGAAUAACCUUGCGAAAGUAAGACUAAUACCCAAUGAUAUCCCACGAAGGCAUCGGAAUGGGAUUAAAGAUUUAUCGGUGAUGGAUGGGGAUGCGUCUGAUUAGCUUGUUGGCGGGGUAACGGCCCACCAAGGCAACGAUCAGUAGGGGUUCUGAGGGGAAGGUCCCCCACAUUGGAACUGAGACACGGUCCAAACUCCUACGGGAGGCAGCAGUGAGGAAUAUUGGUCAAUGGGCGAGAGCCUGAACCAGCCAAGUAGCGUGCAGGAAGACGGCCCUAUGGGUUGUAAACUGCUUUUAUAAGGGAAUAAAGUGGGUCACGUGUGACUUUUUGCAUGUACCUUAUGAAUAAGGACCGGCUAAUUCCGUG
rnacentral:rRNA from 1 species